CAAACGCUUUGCCUCACAACCAACGGCUACAGGGCAGCCAAGUAGGUGAAUUUACAGGACAAGUCUGGAACUUUGGUAGAAGAAAGGGUGGUGAAAAUGGACAAAUAUAGCCAAGGCUUUGUGGUUGAGUUUCUAUUUCCUUUGAUAAUUUUGAGAAGCUGCCAAGGCUUUUGGUGUGGGCAUGGGAGGAAACCUUGCCGCUUUUACUUCAAAGUAGUUGUUUUCAUGGUAAAUUUUAAUCAAUCUCAUACUCAGGUACAUGGAUAGGAGAAUCGUCUAAUACAGCUAUACAGUUCAUCAAUAAGGCAAGGCCAUGGAUUACAUUGAUGGUCAUUGGCUGGGAAUAUGGUGCAAACAUGUUGACGAAGUACUUGGCAGAAGCUGG